rnacentral:rRNA from 1 species
GCAAGUCGAACGAGAAGCUACCUUCGGGUAGUGGACAGUGGCAGACGGGUGAGUAACGCGUGGGAACGUGCCUUUCGGUUCGGAAUAACUCAGGGAAACUUGGGCUAAUACCGGAUACGCCCUUCGGGGGAAAGAUUUAUCGCCGAAAGAUCGGCCCGCGUCAGAUUAGCUUGUUGGUGAGGUAAUGGCUCACCAAGGCGACGAUCAGUAGCCGGCCUGAGAGGGUGAAC